rnacentral:rRNA from 1 species
GACGAACGCUGGCGGCGUGCUUAACACAUGCAAGUCGAACGAUGAACCCGGAGCUUGCUCCGGCGGAUUAGUGGCGAACGGAUGAGUAACACGUGAGUAACCUGCCCUUGACUCUGGGAUAACUGCUAGAAAUGGUAGCUAAUACCGGAUACGACCCUCGGCGGCAUCGCCAGGGGGUGGAAAGAAUUUGGGUCAAGGAUGGACUCGCGGCCUAUCAGCUAGUUGGUGAGGUAAGGGCUCACCAAGGCGACGACGGGUAGCCGGCCUGAGAGGGUGACCGGCCACACUGGGACUGAGACACGGCCCAGACUCCUACGGGAGGCAGCAGUGGGGAAUAUUGCACAAUGGGCGCAAGCCUGAUGCAGCAACGCCGCGUGAGGGAUGACGGCCUUCGGGUUGUAAACCUCUUUUAGUAGGGAAGAAGCGAAAGUGACGGUACCUGCAGAAAAAGCACCGGCUAACUACGUGCCAGCCGCCGCCGUAA